UACGAAGGGGGCUAGCGUUGCUCGGAAUCACUGGGCGUAAAGCGCACGUAGGCGGCUUGUUAAGUCAGGGGUGAAAUCCUGGAGCUCAACUCCAGAACUGCCUUUGAUACUGGCAAGCUUGGAGUCCGGGAGAGGUGAGUGGAACUGCGAGUGUAGAGGUGAAAUUCGUAGAUAUUCGCAAGAACACCAGUGGCGAAGGCGGCUCACUGGCCCGGUACUGACGCUGAGGCGCGAAAGCGUGGGGAGCAAACAGG
rnacentral:rRNA from 1 species